CCAAUUAACCUCUCCUAACACUUCAAUCAUCGUGUGUUUUAAUUGUGAUGCUGGGUGGCCGACGUUCGUAUGCACAAGCACUUGGGAGCUGUGUUGGCGGCCAUCUUGUUCGCGGGCAGCAGUGUUUGGGCAUCGAAUUCAUGGAACUAAAAUCGGACACUGAAACUUCUGAACACCGCUCAACUUCGACGAACGCCUGCUUCUUUCCCACACAGGUCAGGAGAGCACCAUUUGGUAUCAACAAGCCAGAUAGUGCGUUUGGUAUUUCUUUCGUAUGGAACUCCUGAAAGUGACCGGCCGCUACCACUGAAUCCCUGGAACUGUUUUGGGCAGAAGCCUCGUGUGCGGUCGGUCAAAGCUUUACCCCUGUGGCAAUUUGGCUGUGUUCAAUUGAUCUGAGCUCUAUUUGGACAGCUUGGGCGCUCAGAUCCAGGCUAUCUGGAGAUGUAAUAUUUGUGGGGGGUUCCUAUGUAUUUAAUAUGUUUUUAUGUAUUUUCAUGUGUUGUGUGAUUAUUGCGUAGUCAUGGUGACACUGCAAUUUGUGGACAUUUUGUGGGUGUGUUUAUGGGAGUGUCCUGGGCGUGUUUACUGUUUCUC